AUCGGUGUUCACCUUUUUGUGCAGGAUACUGUACAUCCCAAUAACUGACAUCAAGAAAUUUCAGACCAUGAAUAUGACGGCAUUUGAGGAACUGGCGAGAGGGGAACUGCCGAGACACCACUCCUACUCUAAGAUCAACAUUUGGACACUCUUGAUACGUCGGCUGCUGCAGCACCAACAUUCGGGCCAUCACCAUCAUUCAAGUACAGUUCUUCUGCAUCUUUAAUUUCGAUGGUUGGUGGAUGGCCUUAAAUAUUUUUUGUCGUACUAAGAAGAGCCCAAUAAAGAUUAUAAAGCUCAAAAUAUGGGUGUUAAAAGCUAUUUUAUGCCACGAUAAAGUCAAAACUCAUCUUCGUAAUGUUUAUUAAAGAAAGAAAGUGGAAUCGGUUGACUCAAUCUUUCUUCAACCCGUUAAUCCUGCCGGACAUCUAUGGUUGAACCAGUCACUUCUCGGAGCCAAAGAGAGCACUCCGGGUAGAUUUGAGGACCAAAACACUUUUUAUGAAUGUUAGUUAACUUGGAUAGGGGCACCUUUUAAAUUCACAUAUUUCACUAUCUAUUUCGAUCACAAUUUCACAAUCUUUUGCUCAACAGGAAAGCAGCACAAGGAAAGGACAGGCCUUCCACAUAGCACAUUUCUGCCGUCAGAUUUUCAAAUCAUGGCCGAAUAUCCAUGACUUCUAUGGGAAGUUCCAGGGUUGUCCGCCAGCUAGUCACAAGUGCAAUGAAUGUCAAAAGUUUUAUUUGAUGGGCGUUCUUCCAACAGCCAAGAAGAUUUCGAAUUGUUUUGUUUUUGAUUGUCAAGAUUUAUUUGAUUUAAAAAAUUGAGGGAUUUAACCAUGUUUAAAUUUUCUACCACAACUUGUUUGGCAUGGCACACGAAAGUGCUAGCUUGGGUUUGUGGGAUUUAAACAAACUCUUUGAUUUUUGAAAACUAUUCAAUAUGUAUUGUCUCGGGUAAAAAGGGAGAUAGAGCAAGUGAUUGACGCGUACCCCCUCCCUAUUUGUGAACGCACUCUUGCGGAUUUCGCCAUGUUU